GCCGUGACGGUAUUCAACCAGAAAGUCACGGCUAACUACGUGCCAGCAGCCGCGGUAAUACGUAGGUGGCAAGCGUUAUCCGGAUUUAUUGGGCGUAAAGAGAGCGCAGGCGGUUUUUUAAGUCUGAUGUGAAAGCCUUCGGCUUAACCGAGGAAGUGCAUCGGAAACUGGGAAACUUGAGUGCAGAAGAGGAUAGUGGAACUCCAUGUGUAGCGGUGAAAUGCGUAGAUAUAUGGAAGAACACCAGUGGCGAAGGCGGCUGCCUGGUCUGUAACUGACGCUGAGGCUCGAAAGCAUGGGUAGCGAACAGGAUUAGAUACCCUGGUAGUCCAUGCCGUAAACGAUGAAUGCUAGGUGUUGGAGGGUUUCCGCCCUUCAGUGCCGCAGCUAACGCAUUAAGCAUUCCGCCUGGGGAGUACGACCGCAAGGUUGAAACUCAAAGGAAUUGACGGGGGCCCGCACAAGCGGUGGAGCAUGUGGUUUAAUUCGAAGCUACGCGAAGAACCUUACCAGGUC
rnacentral:rRNA from 1 species